GGAGAGUACAGCUCAGUGGCAGAGUGAGUGCUUAGCAUGCACGAGGUCCUGGGUUCAAUCCCCAGUACCUCCA
rnacentral:tRNA from 1 species